CCUACGUGAGGCAGCAGUGAGGAAUCUUGGUCAAUGGCCGAGAGGCUGCACCAGCCAAGUCGCGUGAGGGCAGACGGCCCUACGGGUUGUACACCUCUUUUGUCGGGGAGCAAAGCGAACCACGUGUGGUUCCUUGAGCGUACCCGAAGAAACAGCAUCGUCUAACUCCGUGCCAGAAGCCGCGGUAAUACGGAGGAUGCGAGCGUUAUACGGAUUGAUUGGGUUUACAGGGUGCGUAGGCGGAGGUGCAAGUCAGCGGUCAAAUUGCGGGGCUCAACCCCGUACUGCCGUUGAAACUGCAUCCCUUGAGUGCGCGAGAAGUAUGCGGAAUGCGUGGUGUAGCGGUGAAAUGCAUAGAUAUCACGCAGAACUCCGAUUGCGAAGGCAGCAUACCGGCGCGCAACUGACGCUCAUGCACGAAAGCGUGGGUAUCGAACAGGAUUAGAUACCCGAGUAGUC
rnacentral:rRNA from 1 species